rnacentral:piRNA from 1 species
UUGCUAAAUGAGCACACAGUAUUGCCUA